CUUUUUCAGGUGUGAAUCAGGAUACACUGGACAGCACUGUGAAAAGACAGACUUUAGUAUUCUUUAUGUUGUCCCAAGUAGACAAAAGCUUACGCAUGUCCUUAUUGCAGCAAUAAUUGGAGCUGUACAGAUUGCCAUUAUAGUUGCAAUUGUCAUGUGCAUAACAAGAAAAUGCCCCAAAAACAAUAGAGGACGUCGGCAGAAGCAAAACCUAGGCCAUUUUACUUCAGAUACAUCAUCCAGAAUGGUUUAACUUAGUGAUUUUUUUAUACCUACAUUGACCAUGUGAUGUACAUUUUUAUUAUAUCUUUUUUUAAAGAAUGGAAAUAUUUAUUUCAGAGGCCUUAUUUUUGAACAUUUUUAGUGUAACAAUGUUGGUCUGUAUUCUGAAAGCAUCAGCUCUAACAGCUAUGGACUGUUUUAGUAUCUUUACUUUUAUGUUUUUGAAUACAGUAGUUCAUUUUCUGUAUCUGUAUCACAUGGUUAUGUAAUAGACUUGUGCUUUAUCCAUGGAAUGUAAUAUUUUUGGGAACACAGAUUUAUUCCACCAAUGGUUGUAGAUUUUAAAAAAAAACCCAACAAACCAACAAAAAAGUCCACAUUACCUAGCAAACAAGGCAUGAACUAAAGGUAAAAAUGUUUACAGCUUACUUUUCUUAUGAGAAACUAGAAAACACUGUGUUUAAAUACCGUAGAUAUUUAAAUGUUUUUGGAAGUUAGUAACUGAUUUUUUAGACACUGCCUAUCGCAUGAACUGUGAAGCUGUGUGCUGUGUGUAGUUGUAACAUAUUUAUAAAACAUGUGGGCUGGGUCUAAGCACUGCCAUCUUCAUAAAUAAUUCCAACAGUUUAUUUUUAAAGAGGAAAAUUAUAAAUUUCAUAAUUUGGGAAGUUACCUGGUAGAGCAGAUGGCACAGGUCCAAAAGAAGUAGGUCUUAGUAGAUUUAGGUAUUGUAAAAAUUGGUGUUGAAUAAUUGAACACAAAUAAUUGGAAUAAAACCUACUUUAUCACUGUUAAAGCUGUUUUAAUACUUCUUAAACUUUUUUAAAGAAAAUACAUGUUUUAACACCUACAAUACGGAUUGUAUAGUGUUUGUGAUUAAAAUAAAAAAAUAAUAAAAGUGAAUGAAUUACUAGUGCUCUUGUAUAGAGUAUUUUCAAGAGCUAAAGAAGUCCAUCCAAAUUAGUCUGCUGGUCAUAGUUAUAUUAAUAGACUGUUAGUUGUUGUUUGAAAGAUCCCGAGAUAAAGUGUGAAUAGGAUGCGUUCAGCUGUUUUAACGUGUAGUUUAGGCUUUCAAAAUUUUGCAUGUAGGAUUUAAUAAUUUGUUCAAUAAAAAAGACAAAUGCUUUCAACAUUUUGAACUGGAAAAGCAUGUCACAAUACAACGUUUUCACUAUA